rnacentral:rRNA from 1 species
AUUGAACGCUGGCGGCAGGCCUAACACAUGCAAGUCGAACGAGUGGCGGACGGGUGAGUAAUGUCUGGGAAACUGCCUGAUGGAGGGGGAUAACUACUGGAAACGGUAGCUACUACCGCAUACCAUCAGAUGUGCCCAGAUGGGAUUAGCUUGUGGGUGGGGUAACGGCUCACCAAGGCGACGCUGCCGAGCUGGGCUGAGAGGAUGACCAGCCACACUGGAACUGAGACACGGGCAAGACUCCUACGGGAGGCAGCAGUGGGGAAUAUUGCACAAUGGGCGAAAGCCUGAUGCAGCAAUGCCGCGUGAAUGAAGAAGGCCUUCGGGUUGUAAAGUACUUUCGGCGGGGAGGCGUUACCCGAAGAAGAAGCACCGGCUAACUCCGUGCCAGCAGCCGCGGUAAUAC